rnacentral:rRNA from 1 species
CCUACGGGUGGCAGCAGUGGGGAAUAUUGCACAAUGGGGGAAACCCUGAUGCAGCGACGCCGCGUGAGUGAAGAAGUAAUUCGGUAUGUAAAGCUCUAUCAGCAGGGAAGAAAAUGACGGUACCUGAGGAAGAAGCCCCGGCUAACUACGUGCCAGCAGCCGCGGUAAUACGUAGGGGGCAAGCGUUAUACGGAUUUACUGGGUGUAAAGGGGGCGGAGACGGCCGUGCAAGUCAGGAGUGAAAGGCGGGGGCUCAACCCCCGGACUGCUCUUGAAACUGUACGGCUGGAGUGCAGGAGGGGUAAGUGGAAUUCCUAGUGUAGCGAUGAAAUGCGUAGAUAUUAGGAGGAACACCAGUGGCGAAGGCGGCUUACUGGACUGUAACUGACGUUGAGGCUCGAAAGCGUGGGGAGCAAACAGGAUUAGAUACCCGGGUAAUC